rnacentral:lncRNA from 1 species
UUUUUUAAUUUAUUAUUUUAUUCAUGAAAUCCCAAAAAAUAAAAUAUUUUCUUCACUCACUGUGUAUAGCAAAACAGUAACCUCUGCUCUCACAAAUCACUCUCACGGUACUUGCUCUCAUUUGACGGUGCUCUCACCCUCACUUCACUGAAAUUCUUCAAGGAGCAGGUAAAACACCCUUCCUUUUUUCUUCUCUUUUCUCCACAUUUUUGUUUUCUCACUUCUC